ACUUUUCUAAUAUCAACUAGUAUAAGUGACUUCCAAUCAUUCAGCCUUGGUUAAAAUCCAAGGAAAAGUA
rnacentral:tRNA from 1 species